rnacentral:rRNA from 1 species
CCUACGGGACGCAGCAGUGGGGAAUAUUGCACAAUGGGGGAAACCCUGAUGCAGCGACGCCGCGUGAGUGAAGAAGUAUUUCGGUAUGUAAAGCUCUAUCAGCAGGGAAGAAAAUGACGGUACCUGACUAAGAAGCCCCGGCUAACUACGUGCCAGCAGCCGCGGUAAUACGUAGGGGGCAAGCGUUAUCCGGAUUUACUGGGUGUAAAGGGAGCGUAGACGGCGCGGCGAGUCUGAAGUGAAAGGCAGGGGCUUAACCUCUGAGCUGCUUUGGAAACUGCCAUGCUAGAGUGCUGGAGAGGUAA